UCCUCCGUGGCGCAAUUGGCUAGCGCGUCUGACUGUUAUGGAUAAAAAUCCGAUUCGAUUGGGUGCCUUGACAUCAGGAGGUUCGUGGUUCGAGCCCACGCGGGGGAG